rnacentral:rRNA from 1 species
GAUGAACGCUGGCGGCGUGCCUAAUACAUGCAAGUCGAGCGAACGGACGAUAAGCUUGCUUCUCUGAUGUUAGCGGCGGACGGGUGAGUAACACGUGUAUAACCUACCUAUAAGACUGGGAUAACUUCGGGAAUCCGGCUCUAAUACCGUAUGAUAUUUUGAUCCGCAUGGUUCGAAAGUGAAAGACGGUCGUUCUGUCACUUAUCGCUGGAUCCGCGCUGCAUUAGCUAGUUGGUGAGUUAACGGCUUACCAAGGCAACGAUGCAUGGCCGACCUGAGAGGGUGAUAGGCCGCACUAGAACUGAGACACGGUCCAGAGUCCUACGAGAGGCAGCAGUAGCGAAUCUUCCGCAAUGGGCGAAAGCAUGACGGAGCAACGCCGCGUGAGAGAUGACGGUGCUCGGAUCGUAAAACUCUGUUAUUAGGGAAGAACAUAUGUGUAAGUAACUGUGCACAUCUUGACGGUAACUAAUAAGAAAGCCACGGCUAACUACGUG